AAAGUAUCGAUAGUGCCAUCGAAGGUUUUCCAGCUCUAUGUUGUACAGUUGUGAACAAAGUGUGAAAAGCGGUAUAUGUGCUAUAAAUUUAUUCACGUGUUAGAAUCGGUCUUUAUUUGGUGGGGAGCAACUGCCAAAGCUUGUUUUCACACGAUCGCAAAACUCGUGAUUGGUCGACCUUGCCGCAGUCCAAACGGGACUUAUCAUUGCCGUUGCUGACGCCAAAGAUUGAACAGCAACCAGUGAUUUGGAUCAGUGGAGAAUCCAAUAGGAAACUCGCAGUAUUUCGAAUAUCGAGGCACAGAUUGCGCCCUACGUAGUCGACUCGUGAGGAUUUAAAGAUUCUCAGCAAGAAGAAUAAGAAAAGUAAAAUCUAUUUUUAAAAACGUCUAAGGAGCCUACAACUAGCACAAAGCUCAGCCAAGUAGUUUUCUCCCUUGAGGAAUAAGAAUAUAUUAUGGAAAACAGUGAACUGGAAAAAGCGAGUGCAGUGAACGACCAAUUGGCCGAGUUAAGGCAACAGGUUCAGGCUCUUGAAAACAGAGUGAAGAAGUAUGCGAGGCAGCUGGCGGAUAUUUCGGACCAGGUUGAACAGAUUGCGGCCUUGUUACGUUCGCAUCGGAGAGGACCUUCUAGCUUUAGAGCUCAAAAUAAGCUUAGGCCCUAGAGAACGCUACUGCGCCUACAACAUAGACGGCCGUAACGGGAAAAAGUCCUUAAAAUCAUUUCCCAAUAUCUUUUCCGUUAUGAUUGUAUGUAUUAUUAUUAUUAUUAUUUUAUAAUAAUACCGAUAUUGUUAACCGCAAGAAGGCUUUUUUUAUUUCCUUGAAUACAUGUCAUGUCAUAUUGUUGGCACCAACUGGACAGCUACUUUCCUCGUCUGUUUGCCAACACAUUUCCUCUCUUGGCAUAUAGUGAUAUUCGGUGUAAAAAAGAAUACCCAAAACAACUUUUGCUCAACUACAAUGGGUUAUUUUGCAUCUAAAUCUUUAAUCAUUUCCUUUUUGUUUUCCAAGUGAGAGCUAGUGGUGUAUUUUUUUAA
rnacentral:sRNA from 13 species